rnacentral:rRNA from 1 species
UACGAAGGGGGCUAGCGUUGUUCGGAAUUACUGGGCGUAAAGGGCGCGUAGGCGGUGUGUCAAGUCAGGCGUGAAAGCCCCGGGCUCAACCUGGGAACCGCGCUUGAGACUGGCACGCUCGAGUUCGGGAGAGGAUGGUGGAAUUCCCAGUGUAGAGGUGAAAUUCGUAGAUAUUGGGAAGAACACCGAUGGCGAAGGCAGCCAUCUGGACCGACACUGACGCUGAGGCGCGAAAGCGUGGGGAGCAAAUAGG